rnacentral:rRNA from 1 species
GUACACUCCUGCGGGAGGCAGCAGUGGGGAAUUGUGGACAAUGGGCGAAAGCCUGAUCCAGCCAUGCCGCGUGCAGGAUGAAGGCCUUCGGGUUGUAAACUGCUUUUGUACGGAACGAAACGGCCUUUUCUAAUAAAGAGGGCUAAUGACGGUACCGUAAGAAUAAGCACCGGCUAACUACGUGCCAGCAGCCGCGGUAAUACGUAGGGUGCAAGCGUUAAUCGGAAUUACUGGGCGUAAAGCGUGCGCAGGCGGUUAUGUAAGACAGUUGUGAAAUCCCCGGGCUCAACCUGGGAACUGCAUCUGUGACUGCAUAGCUAGAGUACGGUAGAGGGGGAUGGAAUUCCGCGUGUAGCAGUGAAAUGCGUAGAUAUGCGGAGGAACACCGAUGGCGAAGGCAAUCCCCUGGACCUGUACUGACGCUCAUGCACGAAAGCGUGGGGAGCAAACAGGAUUAGAUACCCUAGUCGUCCC